rnacentral:rRNA from 1 species
AAACGACUCUCGGCAACGGAUAUCUUGGCUCUCGCAUCGAUGAUGAACGUAGCGAAAUGCGAUACUUGGUGUGAAUUGCAGAAUCCCGUGAACCAUCGAGUCUUUGAACGCAAGUUGCGCCUGAAGCCUUUAGGCCGAGGGCACAUCUGCAUGGGCGUCACGCAU